rnacentral:rRNA from 1 species
GCCGCGCCGGACCGUGUAUAAGUCUCCUGGAACGGAGUAUCAAAGAGGGUGACAGAGUCCCGUGCUUUACACGACGACCGGUGCUAUGUGAUACGUUCUCUACGAGUCGAGUUGUUUGGGAAUGCAGCUCAAAACGGGUGGUAAACUCCAUCUAAAGCUAAGAUAUUGGUGGGAGACCGAUAGCGAACAAGUACCGUGAGGGAAAGAUGAAAAGCACUUUGGAAAGAGAGUUAAACAGUAUGUGAAAUUGUUGAAAGGGAAAGCGAUUGAAGUCAGUCGUGUCCAUUGGGUUCAGCCGGUCCUGCCGGUCUACUCCCUUUGGACGGGUCAACAUCAGUUCUGACCGGCGGAUAAUGGCACGAGGAACGUGGACACCCUCCGGGGUGUGUUAUAGCCUCGCGUCGCAUACGCUGGUCGGGACUGAGGAACGCAGGCUCGCCUUCAUGGCCGGGGGUACGCCCACGUACGAGCUUAGGAUGUUGACAUAAUGGCUUUAAACGACCCGUCUUGAAACAC